UUUCAGACUCCUACGGGAGGCAGCAGUGGGGAAUAUUGCACAAUGGGGGAAACCCUGAUGCAGCGACGCCGCGUGAGCGAAGAAGUACCUCGGUAUGUAAAGCUCUAUCAGCAGGGAAGAAGAUGACGGUACCUGACCAAGAAGCCCCGGCUAACUACGUGCCAGCAGCCGCGGUAAUACGUAGGGGGCAAGCGUUAUCCGGAUUUACUGGGUGUAAAGGGAGCGUAGACGGAAAGGCAAGUCAGAAGUGAAAGCCCAAGGCUCAACCAUGGGACUGCUUUUGAAACUGUCAAACUAGAGUACGGGAGAGGUAAGAGGAAUUCCUAGUGUAGCGGUGAAAUGCGUAGAUAUUAGGAGGAACACCGGUGGCGAAGGCGGCCUGCUGGACUGCGACUGACGUUGAGGCCCGAAAGCGUGGGGAGCAAACAGGAUUAGAUACCCGUGUA
rnacentral:rRNA from 1 species